UGAACAAAACACGCAAGAAAUAAAAACGUAAAUAAAGAUGAAAACGCAGGAGAAAAUGACUUGGCUGUGAGUCUGAAUCACAUUCAGCGAAGUAUUCUAAAACAGUUACCAAAGGUUUCCAACUUUAAUGCCUCAUGACUGUGUUUGACACUUGAGCCACAGCAAGUGGCCAGUGAGCACGGAGUGAGCGCCUCUUGCGCGUGACGGAUACCAAGACCGUCCUGGAGGAAGAGUCUGCAGAGACCGCGGGCGGGUCGUGGACAAGUGCAGCUGCCCCGUGCCAGGCGCCUCGCGGGUGCAGAGGGAGGAAAACCACGGGUUCUGUCCACCAGAAGGCAAGGACCUUCCUUCCUCUCUAGCUCCAACCUCCCAGAAAGCCCGAUGCUGUGUGACCUGUGGGCUUUACAACAAGGCCUGAGACUCCAGGUUUCGUUUCCCCAGGACUAUGCCGUCACUGUCAGGAAGUGGCUACCGGUCAGGAGGCCGGCACGAUGACCGUGUCGUGACAGGAGAGCAGGAGGGCUCCCUGCCGUCCGGUGACGGCAGCCUCACCACGCGUGUGAGGAUGAGGCCGAGCAUCUUUUCAAAGCACAGGCGCGUCUGCGUUCUCACGUACAGCGUCCUUGAGAAAGCGGGGGGUCGGAGGGAGCCCGUCACCAGGGCCAUUCUGCUGCAGACGAUGCAAAGGAGGCUACACGUACACAACAUAUUUCAAUCAGGCGUAAUUUUUUAUAGGAACAGACCUAUGGAAAAAUCUAGAUUACUAACCCACGGCAGAUAUAAGCACUUUAUGACGCUAUUUUGAGGAUCCAAGGGGGAGCUCCCACUCACCCUCUCAGGCUGUCCGCUUUCCCACUCUACUUAAUUUUGUAGGGAAACAAUCGUCCUGAAUUUGUUAUCCUGGAUUGUCACGGAAAUAAACAUUCUCAUUAUUCCAACCCCAUGCAAUCAAGUAAGAAGUUCUAAUCAAAAUGGAAAAUGAUCAGCUCAGCUGCUUAACACCUUAAGAAGUUGCAAGAUGAAUAAUAAACUCCACGCUGUGAGUGUUGCCGAAUGCCAGCUGCCGAGAUCCCGUGGAGUCCUCACGGCAGCCCCCGAGGUGAGUGUGAGUGUCAUACCCAUUUUAUAGCUAAGGAUGCUGCAGAUCUGAAAGCCAGGGCGCCGGCCUCAAGUCUCACAGAGAACAGACAGGUGACACGCUCGUUGGUCAAACCCACACCUGGCUCUCCUCCCCACGCUUCACUGUCAGGUGAGCACUACCAGAGACUCAUCGGCUCCGACGGCCGCAGCACAGCACGGCGAUCCUAGGAGGAAGGGAGUCGCCAUCCUUGAACAUGAAGCAGCCGAGGCACAGUGACGCUGAGCCACCAGGUCACACAGCUCAGAAGGGACAGCACCUACACUCGAAGCUCAGGUGCCAACGUCACCACGUGCUGAAGACCUAUGCCAGGGGUGGGGGGCGGGCUGUGCGGUUUACCCAGACCUGCCCCGCUCCCUCCCCGAACGUCUCACUUGCCCGUCUGGGGUUUCCAUGACCCCUCCUCGCACCCGGAAAUGUAAGUCAGGGUCCACGUGAAACUCACUGCCGUGUGAUCGUGAUGAAUUACAACUGCUUUACUUGUCUGUCUGGUCUCAAAUUCCCUCCCUCCCUUUCAACAGUUGCAAUUUUCCUUCAGGGCAGCACACAGAUCUAUGGCGAGAGGGAAACAAGAGGGACUGGCUAAAAAAACAUCAAAGAAACAUUCACAUUAAAAAAAAAAAAAAUCCAGCAGAAACAAGAAUGAAAGAAACAAUAUUGCUUGCCUCCCUCUUAAGGUUUUACAGCUUUAAAUAGGAGAAUUGCUUAAGCAGAAUGCUCUUUUUCAUCUUGAGGACAGAAAUUCAGAAAGGAACGCCCUGUUGAAAUGUCAGUGUCAACGAUGGGUCAAACAUCUGUGUGUGAACCUGGGCCUCCACCUGCCGGGCUCCCGGGGUGGGGGGGGCAUCCUGCUCACUGUCUCAGCACCCCCGUCCAUCAAGCCACGGGCCUGGUGUAGGUCCUGUGCGGACCCCGGGCAGCUGUGACAUUCUUGAUGGCUCAUGCACUGCAGUCGGCCACAAAGUAGUCAAAAUAACUUCUCAUUUUGUUGGGGGAAAAAAAAAAUUGGCUAAUGUUUCGUGGAAAACAGCACUAAAUUAAAUGAACCUCGGUCCUCUUUCCAAAGGUCAGAAGUUACAGCAGAAUGGCUCCUUAGACAAAUAAAACCCUGAUGUUCUUGAGAAUUUUAUCGGUCGCACAAAGUGAAUUACGUCUUCAUAGAACUGCAAGAAUUUCCUUUCCUGAGACAGGCCCCCACUGUUUAAUGCGAUGCUGUCGGUGACAGGCACUGAAGCUAAUCAACAUAGGAGUCGAGCAAGAGCUUUUUGACCAAACCAAGUCUUUAUCAAAUGGACUGAGCAGUAAUGAACAUCAGUGCAGACUGGAAAUUUGUCUGUGAAGUGCCCUAACACCAUUCAGCAUAAAAAAAAAAAAAAAUGGGGGUGAAGAAUGUUUCCCAUGAACAGGAGGAUAAGAGGUAGCAUAAUUUGGUCCAGCAAUGGUUUGGUGAUAAGACAAUCUCAGUUUUGACAGAUGAAAACUUGAAACUGACAUUUGCUAUCAUUUUGCCCAGUUUCUGAUUAUUUAUUACAAGACUGUCGUCAAGCCAGGAAGCUGGGAGCAGCUGAGCCCCACUCUUACACCUGUCAGCUCCACCGAAUUGCUCUGCCAGUGCUUUAUCUCGUGCACCUCAAAUGUCUAUUAGCCAGAGAUGUGUCCUAAUUCCCAAGGAUGAACUAAAAACCCAACAUAAGGCAAAAGGGAAAAGACACUAAAAAUCUCUUCAUUUACACAUACAAUAACGUUAAUAGUAGGUGAGAAAAUACAGUAGGCCAAAUACGCAUCAACUCCCAUCAAAAGGGAUCCAGGGAAGCUGCUCCCUGAACAGGUCAAGAGUGGGCUUCCCUUGCUGGUCCUAUGGCCACGUCUGCCCAGGCCCUUUAUUCCCCGCUGUUCUACCCCGUCUCAGUGGUAGGGGGAAGUGUAGGUAUGCAGCAGAAUUCCUUGCUUUCCCAGAGGUUCUUGGUUUUACCAACCAGCGUCUAGAACGCCCCCCCCACCCCCAACCCCCUGCCAACACACACACUAGGAGAGAACACGGGGGUCAAGGAGCAAACUGUAGUACUGGGACCAAGUCUACCACUCCUGAGACCUUCUAUUCUCCACAGACAGGGGUCCAAGAGGAGGACAGAACCUCUGUCCCCAGAUCACCCUGUCUCUGUGGGAUCAAGAAGGCAAUCCUGACAUUGAUCUGUUCCCUGUCCUUUUAACCUCUUCAAGACUCUCCACCAAUUUCUACUUUAAAGUCUCUGAACCCAACUUCAUCAGGCCUCUUGCUGGUUUUUAUGUCAGCUCGGGAAGCUCUCGACCACUAGGAUGCUCUUAUCCCCAGGACUCCUGAAGUCCUGCCCGCCUGCUGCUGUCCACCCUCAGCAGCUACUCCACUCUGAAAUUCUUCCCCCAGGGCCCCCUGGAAUUCACAGCCCACCACUGGCAAAGCUGCCUAUAUAGUCUCAGCCUCCUCUUGGAACACUCCCUCCUCACUGGAAACUUGAUUCUCCUCCGCUGACAGUUAUUUCCUGGGUUGUUUCCGGGCAGCCUUCUCCAGUUUUUAUCUCCCACAGCUCAUGUACCGUUGGGCCCAGAGGAAGGGGGAGCAUCUUCCCUCUCCCAGUACCAUCGCACUCCAUUCCUCCAUACCCACACCCAACUCGGAAUCUCCCAAUAGCAUCACUGUCCUAAGUCGUGGGGAUUUCAGCACAUGGACAGAAGAGCCUUCCAACAAGCUGGUCUCUCGAUGCCCUGGACGACUCUUGUCCACCCAUCUUGCUCUAGGCUCUUUUAGCCAUUAAAGGAGUCACGCCCUAGACUUGCCAUUACCAAUAACAGAAACCUUCCCCACCUCGCUCAGUGUCCUGUUCCCACUCUAUGACGUCCUCUUUCCUGCUUCACCCCGUCCCUCCAGUACAUCAUCCUUUCACAUCCAUUGAAACCAUCCUCCCCCCCGCCGACACCCCUUAAACCUUUCAUCAAGGGAACCACCCAACCGCAAGUGGCUGAAGUCAAUACUCAAUUCUCAGUCCUUGUGCUUAAAUGACUGCUCACCAUCUGUUACAAGGGACCUCUUCCUUGACAUCCUUUCUUUCCUUGGUUUUCAGGCUGCUGCACUUCCUGGUUUCCUUCCUGUGUCACUGGCUAGACCUCACCAGAUGACCUGUUGGUUCCUCCUUUUCCUCAGACCUCUUAAAGCUGGAGAGUUCCAGACUUCAGACCUUGGUCCUCGUCUUCUUUAUUGACCUAAACUCCCUUGUGAUUUUGUCCAGUCUCUUGCUUUGUAUUCAUCCUAAAUAGCAAAAACUAGCCCCGAUCUAAGAACCUCUCUUAAAGUUUACAUUCAAGUGUUAACUGCCUAUUCGACACCUCAACUUCAAUGUCUAACAGACAUCUCAAAUUUAACCAAGGCCCAGACUCCACUGGACCUCUGAUCUUAUCCCUAAAUCUGCUCCAGCCAAGCUUCCUAGAUUUCAGCUGACAGCAGAGUUUCUUGUUUGCUCAGGUCAAAAAAAGUUUGUGGAGUCAUUCUUUUCGUGGCUAUUCCCUUUGCCUAGAAUGCUCUUACCUCUGGACAUCUGCAUGGCUAACUUCACCUUUCUCAAGUCUCUGCUCAAAUGACACUAUCUCAACACGGUUCGUUCAGAUCACGAUUGCAAUCUCCCUGUCUGGCAACCCUCAUCCGUAUCACUCUGCUCUACUUUUUUCUACAGCAUUUGCCACUUUCUAACAUACUAUAUACUUACUUAUUAUUUUUACUGUCUAUGUCCUUUUGGUAGAAUGGGACUGUGAGCUCUACAAGAGAGGGACUUGGGGCUGGUUUAUUCAAUGACAUACAUACCUCAAGCUCCCUGAGAACAACACCUAGUACAAGGCAGGAACUCAGUAAAGUUUGUUAAUUGCGCUGACUGAAUUGUAAGCAAAUCGUUGAAAAAUUAUGGCCAAGACAAUACAAGAAAGACCAAGUGUUAUUAGUGGAUAAAGAUGAACAAGAGGUCACUCCUCUUACCCCACUUCUCAAGGUGCAAGACGGAACGAUUCAAAGGCACUUAAUAUUUUCUGGCUGUUAAAUAAACUUGACAAAUAAAAUCAAAAGGAAACACUAAGCCCAAGUGUGGCUGUAUACUUUUGAGCACUUCCUAUGUGAAAGACACUAUUCUGAAAAAUGGAGAUCCAGAAAUAAGUAAGGUGUGAUCUCUGCUCUCAAGAAACUAACAAAGAUGAGCAUGUAUUUCCACAGAGUAGGGUGUAAGUGUGCAUGAGCACAGAAGCGUGUCCAAGAUACCUUGGGGUCAGAGUCUCAGUUUGUUAGGGGGUGAGAGGAAGGUACGAAGGUAACACGUGACUGGCUGAGGGACUGAAUGAGGAGGAAAGAAGCAACAGGUGAGUGGGGGUCAGACUACAAAGCGGUUCACGAACUCUCAAAAACGGGGAGUUUACUAGUUCACCCGGUAUACACAGGGCACCGACAAUGUGCACGUGUGUGUGUGCAUGUAUGCGUGUGCGCAUAUGUAUAUUCUUUUGCACUUAACCUCAUGACAAACCGACGAAGUGGAUAUUAUUGUAUCUCCUUUAUAUACAAUAAAAUUGAAGGUCUGAGAAGUUAACUCAACUAUCCAAGGAUGAACAAGAACAAGCGAGGACCAAAGCCCUAAGUCAGGUCUGUCUGAUGCCACAGCGGAUGUUUAUCCUACUCGAGCUGUUGCUCGGAGUGCGGAGGAGAUCCUUCCAACAGGAAAGUGGUGACAGUCUCUUAAAUCACGACACUGCUUCUCUCCCUCAUCUCAUGUCACACUCACAUCUCUCCUGGCACCUAACAUGCCCUCCCACGUGAGAAAAAUGAGGUCAAAGGAUGGGAGCCAUGUCUAACUCAACUGCUCCCUACAGUGCUGAGCCCUCCCAGAUCAGACAGGUAAGAGGAAGACUGAUAUGAACACGAGGACUGAAGACCGUCCAUGACUCACGCAAGAGUCUAUAAUACGGACGUUGUGUUGAAGCAGAUUGUGGCAAUUUUCUGGGGUGGGAGGUGAACCUGGAAUUCAUCCCAGAAUCAUCUUCAGUGAAUCUCUUCCAAAGUUUAAUUAGUAAGUUCUGUGUUGUUUGAAUUUAACAUGAAAGGGCUGAUGUUUUUCUGGAUUAUGUUGGCCUGUUCUUUUAAGAUAAAAUUUUAUCUAUAAUCCUUUUGACAAAAAUUAAAAUUUUAGCAAACGUUUACGAAAUGCUUAUCAUCUGGCAGGAAAAACUACCGGACUGAGCACACGUGGUCCAGACAGUAGCUCCGGACCGGCUGGCCUGGGCUAGUGUUUUCGCUCUACUUGGGAGCUUGUAAUCCUUCCGCAACCAUUAAGAAUUUUUACAGAUAAAGCAGAGUAAGUGAAAAGUAACAUUUAAAAUGAAACUGUGGGACUACUCUUGAAUAUCACAGAUAACUGAAAGACUUGAAAUUCCUUCAGGGUAAUUGGCUAAAAAAUUUCCAAUCUGCUUUCAGUAAGAGCCUUACUUCUCUAAUAGUUCUUUAGUAAGAUUUCAGAACAUUUCCUCAGGAAGGUGCCGAAUAAAUAAGUCUCCGCACUGGGCUGCACCGGUCGGAUGGCAGAACGGCAGCCAAGGUCUGGUCGUCGGCCCACUGGUUUGCUACAUCCGGGCCUCCCCCUUGGUCACGACCGCCCCUCCUGGGGGCUGCUCCCCAAACGGAGCUAGCUUCCUCCAAGACGGGAGAGAUGGGGGUAAGGGCACUUCAUUCCUGUCUUCCGGGUUUUGCAAAGCGUGUUCAGAUCUAAACACAAGGCUGUUAAUCCUUUGUCCCUCUUCCCCUGAGGAUCGCAAAUCUGGACGAGGCAGCUUGGAUGUGGGAGGGAGGCCAGGGCCAGCCCCUCUUCGUAGGCCACCCCUGGCUUCACAGCACCCCACGUGUGAUGGGCACGCAGGGAACACACUUCUGCCCUCAGGGAGCUGACGGCGUGAGGACAAUUCAGUGGACCAAAGGGCUGCACGAGGGUUAAAGGGCCCUCGAUAACUAGCUUCCUACGCUUGCCGCUGGGGGCAGCUCUCGCCCUGCGCUCUCCCAGAGCCCUAGUAUAUGCAUCCUGCGUGUGCAAACCGGCCUAGAGCGGUGGUGUUCCA